UACCGGCGGCUCGAGUGGUGACCAUUUUAUUGGGCUUAAAGCGUUCGUAGCUGGAUUGUUAAGUCUCUUGGGAAAUCUAACGGCUCAACCGUUAGGCGUCUAAGGGAUACUGGCAAUCUAGGGACCGGAAGAGGUGAGAGGUACUCCUGGGGUAGGAGUGAAAUCCUGUAAUCCUAGGGGGACCACCUGUGGCGAAGGCGUCUCACCAGGACGGCUCCGACAGUGAGGGACGAAAGCUGGGGGGAGCAAAACCGGAUUAGAUACCCGGGGUAGUCCCAGCCGUAAACGAUGCGCGUUAGGUGUAUCAGCGACCACGAGUCGCUGAGGUGCCGAAGGGAAACCGUGAAACGUGCCGCCUGGGAAGUACGGUCGCAAGGCUGAAACUUAAAGGAAUUGGCGGGGGAGCACCACAACGGGUGAGCCUGCGGUUU
rnacentral:rRNA from 1 species